UACGUAGGGGGCAAGCGUUGUCCGGAGUUACUGGGCGUAAAGCGCCCGCAGGCGGUCGGCCCAGUUCGCGGUGACAGCGCUCGGCUCAACCGAGCGAGGACCGAGAAGACGCGCCGACUUGAGGGCCAGAGAGGGACAUGGAACUCCGGGUGGAGUGGUGAAAUGCGUAGAGAUCCGGAAGAACACCAAAGGCGAAGGCAGUGUCCUGGCUGGUACCUGACGCUCAGGGGCGAAAGCGAGGGGAGCGAACGGG
rnacentral:rRNA from 1 species